AGUGAACGCUGGCGGUAGGCCUAACACAUGCAAGUCGAACGGCAGCACAGUAAGAGCUUGCUCUUACGGGUGGCGAGUGGCGGACGGGUGAGGAAUACAUCGGAAUCUACUUUUUCGUGGGGGAUAACGUAGGGAAACUUACUCUAAUACCGCAUACGACCUACGGUUGAAAGCAGGGGGUAUUCGGACCUUUCGCGAUUGAAUGAGCCGAUGUCGGAUUAGCUAGUUGGGGGGGUAAAGGCCCACCAAGGCGACGAUCCGUAGCUGGUCUGAGAGGAUGAUCAGCCACACUGGAACUGAGACACGGUCAAGACUCCUACGGGAGGCAGCAGUGGGGAAUAUUGGACAAUGGGCGAAAGCCUGAUCCAGCCAUACCGCGUGGGUGAAGAAGGCCUUCGGGUUGUAAAGCCCUUUUGUUGGGAAAGAAAAGCAGCAGGUUAAUACCACGCUGUUCUGACGGUACCCAAAGAAUAAGCACCGGCUAACUUCGUG
rnacentral:rRNA from 1 species